rnacentral:rRNA from 1 species
UACGGAGGGGACUAGCGUUGUUCGGAAUUACUGGCGUAAAGCGCACGUAGGCGGAUUUGUAAGUCAGGGGUGAAAUCCCGGGGCUCAACCUCGGAACUGCCUUUGAUACUGCAAAUCUCGAGUCCGGAAGAGGUGAGUGGAAUUCCUAGUGUAGAGGUGAAAUUCGUAGAUAUUAGGAAGAACACCAGUGGCGAAGGCGGCUCACUGGUCCGGUACUGACGCUGAGAUGCGAAAGCGUGGGGAGCA